GCUAUGAUAUCCACCAAGCCAACAGUCCAUUCUAGAACACAGAGGCUAUGACACUACAAACCAACAGUCAGUUCUAGAACACAAACCAGCAGUCCAUUCUAGAGCACAGGGGCUAUGCCAUUCCAAACCAACAGUCUAUUCUAGAACACAGAGGCUACGACACUCCAAACCAACAGUCCAUUCUAGAACACAAACCAACAGUCCAUUCUAGAACACAGAGGCUAUGACAUUCCAAACCAACAGUCCAUUCAAGAACACAAUCCAACAGUCCAUUCGAGAACACAGAGGCUAUGACAUUCCAAACCAGCAGUCCAUUCUAGAGCACAGGGGCUAUGCCAUUCCAAACCAUCAGUCCAUUCUAGAGCACAGAGGCUAUGACAUUCCAAACCAACAGUCCAUUCAAGAACACAAACCAACAGUCCAUUCGAGAACACAGAGGCUGUGACAUUCCAAACCAGCAGUCCAUUCUAGAGCACAGAGGCUAUGACAUUCCAAACCAACAGUCCAUUCAAGAACACAAACCAAC
ensembl:lncRNA